rnacentral:lncRNA from 1 species
UGAUAUGUAUUAAGUAUAGUUAUUAUUAUAUGUCCGUUUUUUGUUUUACGUCUGUUUUUUUUAUGUUAAGUUAUACGUUAAGUUAUAUCAGCCUAAGCCUAAUUCUAAAGAAAAUAGAGUAGAUGAAGAAGAAAGAAAAAAAAAGAGAGAGCUCUAGAGAGUUUAAGAGAGAGAAGAUUUCUCUAUGAAUUUGAGAAACUAAAGAAGAAUUCUUAUUCUCUAACAAAGUUUAAGCAAGC